rnacentral:rRNA from 1 species
AGUGAACGCUGGCGGCGUGCCUAAUACAUGCAAGUCGAACGCGAAAGUCCUUCGGGAUGAGUAAAGUGGCGCACGGGUGAGUAAUACAUGGGAACAUGCCCUUGGGUGGGGAAUAACGUUUGGAAACGAACGCUAAUACCGCAUAAUCUCGCGAGAGUAAAGGUGGCGCCGCAAGGGCUACCGUCCAAGGAUUGGCCCAUGUCCCAUUAGCUAGUUGGCGGGGUAAUGGCCCACCAAGGCAACGAUGGGUAACUGGUCUGAGAGGAUGAUCAGUCACACUGGAACUGAGACACGGUCCAGACUCCUACGGGAGGCAGCAGUAGGGAAUAUUGCACAAUGGGGGAAACCCUGAUGCAGCAACGCCGCGUGAGUGAAGAAGGCCCUUGGGUUGUAAAGCUCUUUAGCGUGGGAAGAAGGUAGACACGGUGAAUAAUCGUGUUUGCUGACGGUACCACGAGAAUAAGCACCGGCUAAUUUCGUGCCAGCCGCCGCGGUAA